GGAAGGAAGUGUUAAAGUCAAGCAGCUUCAGAUUUCUGCUUUAAGUGGAAGGAGUGAAGUGACGGAGACAGUUCUCCUGCAGGUUAAUGAUUUGUCUCAUCAGGAUCAUAUUCAGAAUGAAUAUCCAACAUGUUCUCUUUGUCUGCUUCUUAUCAGCACUGUGUGGGGGAGACUCUGGGCUCGUCAGUGCAAGACUCAACCUUUACACAGGAGCUGUAGGAGGAAGUGGAACAAUUAAUUGCCCCUUGCGUCUGUCUGGAAGCAACAAGUUCUUCUGUAAGGAAGAAUGUAAAGCAGAAGAUAUUCUCAUUAGAACAGAUGGUGUCACAGCUCACAGUGGCAGAUACAGCAUUAAAUACAGAAAUGAUUCUUCUGAAAGAGGAAUUCUGUCUGUGACCAUCACAGAUCUGACCAAGUCUGACUCAGGACGGUACAGGUGUGGUUUGGGACAAACCUUGGUUCCAGAUUCAUACAGUGACUUUGAGAUCAGAGUUUCAGAUGCACCGUUGGGGAGAAACUCUAGUUUUGUCCGUACAUUAGCAGAAGGAGAAAAUAUCACUAAUGGAUGCAGCAAUACUGUCUACGGAAAGCAGAAGUUCUUGUGUAAGGGCAAUUGUAAAACAGAAGAGGACAUUCUCAUUGAAACAGAGGAGAACAGAGCUCAGAAUGGCAGAUACAGCAUUGAAUAUAAAGAAGGAUCACUAUAUGGACUGUAUAUGACCAUCACACAGGCGACCAAGUCAGACACAGGAUGGUACAAGUGUGGUUACGGCAGAGCUUUGUCUCCAGAUUCAUCUUAUACAAACCUGAUCCUUGUCAUUGA
rnacentral:lncRNA from 15 species